AAUAGAUACCCCGGUAGUCCACGCCGUAAACGAUGAGUGCUAAGUGUUAGAGGGUUUUCUGCCCUUUAGUGCUGCAGCAAAACGCAUUAAGCACUCCGCCUGGGGGAGUACGGCCGCAAGGCUGAAACUCAAAGGAAUUGACGGGGGACCCGCACAAGCGGUGGAGCAUGUGGUUUAAUUCGAAGCAACGCGAAGAACCUUACCAGGUCUUGACAUCCUCUGACCAUCCUAGAGAUAGGACCUUCCCCUUCGGGGGACAGAGUGACAGGUGGUGCAUGGUUGUCGUCAGCUCGUGUCGUGAGAUGUUGGGUUAAGUCCCGCAACGAGCGCAACCCUUGUCCUUAGUUGCCAGCUAUUCAGUUGGGCACUCUAAGGAGACUGCCGGUGACAAACCGGAGGAAGGUGGGGAUGACGUCAAAUCAUCAUGCCCCUUAUGACCUGGGCUACACACGUGCUACAAUGGAUGGUACAAAGGGCUGCGAAGCCGCGAGGUGGAGCCAAUCCCAUAAAACCAUUCUCAGUUCGGAUUGCAGGU
rnacentral:rRNA from 1 species